rnacentral:misc_RNA from 1 species
GCAAUAGUCCUACCAAUACUGAAUGCUGAAUCACUAAUUUGUUCCUACCAAUACUCAAUGAUUUUGCUUUAACCCUUUAAGAUCCCCGAGUAAUUCAGUUUAUUUUUCCAAAGAGCUGCCUUAAUUGCAUUUUUUCGGGGUACAAUUCAGGCCUUUUUUCUUAAGUGAGUGCCCAACAAAAGCUGGUACGGGAGGUUUUUG